rnacentral:rRNA from 1 species
CAGCAGCCACGGUAAUACGUAUGUCACAAGCGUUAUCCGGAUUUAUUGGGCGUAAAGCGCGUCUAGGUGGUUAUGUAAGUCUGAUGUGAAAAUGCAGGGCUCAACUCUGUAUUGCGUUGGAAACUGUGUAACUAGAGUACUGGAGAGGUAAGCGGAACUACAAGUGUAGAGGUGAAAUUCGUAGAUAUUUGUAGGAAUGCCGAUGGGGAAGCCAGCUUACUGGACAGAUACUGACGCUGAAGCGCGAAAGCGUGGGUAGCAAACAGGAUUAGAUACCCCCGUAGUCCCUGUCUCUUAUACA